CUCUCUCCCAUUGCGAGUAGCAGCGGUGGCCUCACGGCCAAGGCGGGGUGGCGGCUACCUCCCCCACCGCGAGCAGCGGUGGCGACGGUGGCACCCUCCUGCGGCUUUCGAUGGGCGGAUCCAGCGACAAAUAUGGAUGGCGCCUCCUCAUUACUGAUGUUGCCCUCUCCGUCGGAUCUAGACCCUUCUCCGCCGACCUCCCACCCCAGGCGAUGGCAUCCAGAUCAGCUCCUCAGAAGACGCGUGGUGUGAGCCGUUAGCAGAGGGCCCCAUGGUAGCUGUGUCCUGGAGGUCGGCGAAGCGGCCUCGGCGACGGCGCGUUCUUAACGUCUUGAGCCUCUGGCGAUCGCCUCUCCUCGCCAUCUUCCUCCGCCACCACCGUCCAUUCUCACGUCGGAUGACGAGCUUGUCACCGUGUCAAGACAAAUAAAUCAAGGUCAGAAAUUACUUAUUUUUUUGUGAUUUGCUCGAUUCCGUUGGUUUCAAACUUUCAGUCCCGUGGAUCCUCCCAGCUAAUUUUAUUGAGUCCGAACC
rnacentral:lncRNA from 1 species